AUGGCGACGGCAGGGAAUUCGAAGGCGCCGAGUGGCGAGAAUCCGUCCUUAGGCGGGGAGCUCUAUCAGGCUGCAAUCUCUCUGCAUAAGAGUAUCAGCCGGAUCGGGGCCAAGGGGGACAUGAUGUUCGAGAUUGGUCGUCUUGACGCCGCGCAUCGCGUAACUCUGUUUGAGUUGAGAUCGGAGAUGUUCGAGCUGUCGGAAAAGAUCAGGGACGUGAUGCCCGACGCCUUUCGUAUUGAAGCUAAAGGUGAGAUGGACACUGGUGGGAGGUCGUCGAAGGGAAGUAAUGCUGCGGAUCUCGAGGAACUUCGUCAUGCGGCAUCACUGAUGCGGACAGAAAGAAAGGAGCUGCUCGAUCUGUUAGGAAAGGAGACCAAGGGGUUGUUCGCUGGCAAGGCAGGCAAUCUACCCGAAUCGAUUAGGGAGAUCCUGCUGAAAUUCAGAAAUUUUGUCGGUGACAUCAAUUCAGUAUUUGAAGCGGAACAGACCCGAAAGGAGGCAGCGGCAGUGCUAACCUUGGGCUUCAGGCUACAGUUCUUCUCCAAGCAGAUCCAUGAGCUGUGGCAAGAGAUGUGCAAGUUGCAGAGUUUGUUCUCGCCAGAGAACAAAGAUGUCAUGAGAACAAUGAUCGUUUUGAAGAAUGAGUACCUGCCCCGGAUCUGCAAGUUGCAAUGGAUUGCUAAACGUAUCAGCAUGCUGCAGCAAGUGGACCCGGAUUUUGAUUCCAAGGUGAAAUUGAUGAUGAUACAGUUGAAAUCUGAAUCUUUCUUAUCAGCUAUGGAGGAGGUGGAGAGGGGACACAUAUGCAAAUCUUCCAUGGAGGAGGAGGAGAGGAGGUUUGCUGCCUACCGUAUGAACUGGGACCGUAUAUGGGGGCACGACAAGGACUUUGAAGACCAGACGCUUUUGAGCCCCAUGCUCUAUACACAUUGCACACCGCGCCGCAUCCCAAUUGAAGCUCUAGCCGGGAGUACCUUACAGAUCUAUUCCAUUAAAAUCUCGGCAACAAAAUAUCUCACAUUGCCAGUGGAGGUGUAUGGAGUGGUAGCAGCCCGAGAUACUGCGGACCGUCACCGCAACCCUAUAUUCCUUCGCAGAAGUAACUACUGCCAAAAACUGGAAGAAAAUGAUUCCUUUUUGUGCCUGGAUGGCCCGGUUCGUGCGAUUGUGUCCAUGGGCACUGUGUACUUUGAAAUUCAACUAAAAGUAAAGGGCGCAUCAGAAUCUGAAGAUAAAGCAUUGAUCAGUACUUAUUUCUUCUACAAUGGUGACAGUUCCGGUGGGCAUGUGGCUAAGAACGACUUCUGCACAGUGGAGUUUUGCUGGGAGCAACUUCGGAAGUCAGUGCAGGCUACUAUCCUGAGUGUGCUUGUUACAUCUGUAGAUGGAAAAUUGCCUUUUCCGCAUGGUGGCAGAGUUGUUUGCUCUUCACAACCUCAGGAUGGUAAUGAAGAUAUUGCUGGGCUCUCAUCCAGGCAAGUUGUGUUGGUUGAUUCAGAAGGUGGAAGAAUGCCAAUUGCUGAACAUGGCUAUCUUGAGCUGUCAAGAGAAGUAGUUUCUGUGGAAUUGAAUGGAAAGUUAAAAGUCCUUAUAGAGGCCUAUUCGACAACACAAUCUGCUGAGAGUGCUCAAGUCAUCUUAAUAACACCAAAAAAAUCCAACAUAACUAAAGUUGCAUGUAGCCUAUAUGCUGGUGGCCCUAAGGUGGAGAUUACUGUUGCUUGGUCCCUCAUUCCGUCGAAGAUGCUUAAUUGA
rnacentral:rRNA from 1 species